CUCCGCCUCCCGGGUUCACGCCAUUCUCCCGCCUCAGCCUCCCUCAGCGUCCGGAGUAGCUAGGACUACAGGCGCCCGCUACCACGCCCGGCUAAUUUUUUUGUAGUUUUAGUAGAGACGGGGUUUCACCGUGUUAGCCAGGAUGGUCUCCAUCUCCUGACCUCGUGAUCCGCCCGCCUCGGCCUCCCAAAGCGUUGGGAUUACAGGAGUGAGCCACCGCGCCCGGCCGAUUCUUGAAGAAACUGCUCUCAUAAGCUAAGGUUCCUUAUGAUUCUGCAAGGAAGAGAAGACUAAAGCAAAUCACUGUCUGAAAACAUAACAGCUGGCUAAAGCUGGAGUGCAGUGGCAUGAUCUCGGCUCACUGCAACCUCCGCCUCCCGGGUUCAAGUGAUUCUCCUGCCUCAGCCUCCCAAAUAGCUGUGAUUACAGGUCACAGUGUCCAUGUAACUAACUCCUGGUUAAGAGGAUAUGGAUAGAAGGCACAUGUUCAACUUCUGGCUUCUGUCCUUGAAAAGUGUGAUGAUUCCAUCCUUUGCUGUCUUCCUUCCCGCUGACUGGAAUGUGGACUUGGUAGUGAGCUACCUUGGACUAUGUGGAUGAAGACAAAGAU
rnacentral:lncRNA from 10 species